UACGUAGGGUGCGAGCGUUGUCCGGAAUUAUUGGGCGUAAAGGGCUCGUAGGCGGUUUGUCGCGUCGGGAGUGAAAACCAUGGGCUUAACUCAUGGCUUGCUUCCGAUACGGGCAGACUAGAGGUAUGCAGGGGAGAACGGAAUUCCUGGUGUAGCGGUGAAAUGCGCAGAUAUCAGGAGGAACACCGGUGGCGAAGGCGGGUCUCUGGGCAACAACUGACGCUGAGGAGCGAAAGCGUGGGGAGCGAACAGG
rnacentral:rRNA from 1 species